GAAUCAGUACGCUGGUCGUGCCUUCGGUAUGUACUGGUGUCACUGGUUUCUCCCUUCUGAAGAACCAUCAUGCCAUUUACUUGGUGUGGUGGGGAAUCAGGACUGUUACUUUGAAAAAAUUAGAGUGUUUAAAACAGGCGUUUGCUUGAAUACAUUAGCAUGGAAUAACGGAAUAGGACU
rnacentral:rRNA from 1 species